rnacentral:rRNA from 1 species
GACGAACGCUGGCGGCGUGCUUAACACAUGCAAGUCGAACGAAGUGGCGAACGGGUGAGUAACGCGUAAUCAACCUGCCCUUCAGAGGGGGACAACAGGUUGAAACGACUGCUAAUACCGCAUACUGAAGGAGGGGAUUGCGUCUGAUUAGGUGGGUGGAGGGGUAACGGCCCACCAAGGGGUAGAUCAGUAGGCGGUCUGAGGUGGUGAACGGCCACAAUGGGACUGGGGAAAGGCCCAGACUCCUAAGGGAGGGAGCAGUGGGGGAUUUUCCGCAAUGGAGGAAAGUCUGACGGAACCACGGCGCGGGAGUGGUGGCGGGCUUCGGGUUGUAAAGCUCUGUUAAGCGGGGCGCGGUACCGGAAGAGGAAGCCACGGCUAACUACGUGCCAGCAGCCGCGGUAAUUC